CGAACGGUAACAGGAAGAAGCUUGCUCUCGGGUGACGAGUGGCGGACGGGUGAGUAAUGUCUGGGAAACUGCCUGAUGGAGGGGGAUAACUACUGGAAACGGUAGCUAAUACCGCAUAACGUCGCAAGACCAAUGAGGGGGACCUUCGGGCCUCUUGCCAUCAGAUGUGCCCAGUUGGGAUGAGCUAGUAGGUGGGGUAACGGCUCACCUAGGCGACGAUCCCUAGCUGGUCUGAGAGGAUGACCAGCUACACUGGAACUGAGACACCGUCCAGACUCCUAUGGGAGGCAGCAGUGGGGAAUAUUGCACAAUGGGCGCAAGCCUGAUGCAGCCAUGCCGCGUGUAUGAAGAAGUCCCCCGGGUGGUAAAGUACUUUCAGCGGGGAGGAAGGCGAUGAGGUUAAUAACCUCAGCNAUUGACGUUACCCGCAGAAGAAGCACCGGCUAACUCCGUGCCAGCAGCCGCGGUAAUACGGAGGGUGCAAGCGUUAAUCGGAAUUACUGGGCGUGAAGCGCACGCAGGCGGUCUGUCAAGUCAG
rnacentral:rRNA from 1 species